UUACUGGGUGUAAAGGGAGCGUAGACGGCGAAGCAAGUCUGAAGUGAAAACCCAGGGCUCAACCCUGGGACUGCUUUGGAAACUGUUUUGCUAGAGUGUCGGAGAGGUAAGUGGAAUUCCUAGUGUAGCGGUGAAAUGCGUAGAUAUUAGGAGGAACACCAGUGGCGAAGGCGGCUUACUGGACGAUAACUGACGUUAAGGCUCGAAAGCGUGGGGAGCAAACAGGAUUAGAUACCCUGG
rnacentral:rRNA from 1 species